rnacentral:rRNA from 1 species
UACGUAGGGACCGAGCGUUGUCCGGAAUCAUUGGGCGUAAAGAGCGUGUAGGCGGCCUUUUAAGUCCUGCGUGAAAUCCUGCGGCUCAACCGCAGACGGUCGUGGGAAACUGGAAGGCUAGAGUGCGGGAGAGGAGAGUGGAAUUCCCGGUGUAGCGGUGAAAUGCGCAGAUAUCGGGAAGAACACCCGUGGCGAAGGCGGCUGACUCUGGAACGCAACUGACGCUGAGACGCGAAAGCGUGGGGAGCAAACAGG